CACGGGGGGAACGCGAAGAACCUUACCAAAUCUUGACAUCCUUUGACAACUCUAGAGAUAGAGCUUUCCCCUUCGGGGGACAAAGUGACAGGUGGUGCAUGGUUGUCGUCAGCUCGUGUCGUGAGAUGUUGGGUUAAGUCCCGCAACGAGCGCAACCCUUAAGCUUAGUUGCCAUCAUUAAGUUGGGCACUCUAAGUUGACUGCCGGUGACAAACCGGAGGAAGGUGGGGAUGACGUCAAAUCAUCAUGCCCCUUAUGAUUUGGGCUACACACGUACUACAAUGGACAAUACAAAGGGCAGCGAAACCGUGAGGUCAAGCAAAUCCCAUAAAGUUGUUCUCAGUUCGGAUUGUAGUCUGCAACUCGACUACAUGAAGCUGGAAUCGCUAGUAAUCGUAGAUCAGCAUGCUACGGUGAAUACGUUCCUCGGGUCUUGUACACACCC
rnacentral:rRNA from 1 species